rnacentral:rRNA from 1 species
UACGGAGGGUGCAAACGUUGCUCGGAAUCAUUGGGCGUAAAGCGCACGUAGGCUGCUCGACAAGUUGGAUGUGAAAGCCCUUGGCUCAACCGAGGAAGUGCAUCCAAAACUGGCGGGCUUGAAUCUCGGAGGGGGUCGGAGAAUUCCGGGUGUAGAGGUGAAAUUCGUAGAUAUCCGGAGGAAUACCAGUGGCGAAGGCGCCGACCUGGACGAAGAUUGACGCUGAGGUGCGAAAGCGUGGGGAGCAAACAGG